rnacentral:rRNA from 1 species
UACAGGGGGGGCAAGCGUUGUUCGGAAUUACUGGGCGUAAAGGGCGCGUAGGCGGCGUGGUAAGUCACUUGUGAAAUCUCUGAGCUUAACUCAGAACGGCCAAGUGAUACUGCUGUGCUAGAGUGCAGAAGGGGCAAUCGGAAUUCUUGGUGUAGCGGUGAAAUGCGUAGAUAUCAAGAGGAACACCUGAGGUGAAGACGGGUUGCUGGGCUGACACUGACGCUGAGGCGCGAAAGCCAGGGGAGCAAACGGG